rnacentral:rRNA from 1 species
UACGUAGGGUGCGAGCGUUAAUCGGAAUUACUGGGCGUAAAGUGUGCGCAGGCGGCCGCGCAAGUCGAGUGUGAAAGCCCCGGGCUUAACUUGGGAAUUGCGCUCGAAACUACGUGGCUGGAGUGUGGCAGAGGAAGGUGGAAUUCCACGUGUAGCGGUGAAAUGCGUAGAUAUCGUAAGGAAGACCAGUGGCGAAGGCGGGUCUCUGGACAGUUCCUGACGCUGAGGCACGAAGGCCAGGGGAGCAAACGGG